rnacentral:rRNA from 1 species
UACGGAGGGUGCAAGCGUUAUCCGGAAUUACUGGGUUUAAAGGGUGCGUAGGCGGCAACGUAAGUCAGAAGUGAAAUCUCUCGGCUUAACUGAGGAACUGCUUUUGAUACUGCGUAGCUUGAAUAAGGUUGAGGUCAGCGGAAUGUGGCAUGUAGCGGUGAAAUGCUUAGAUAUGCCAUAGAACACCAAUUGCGAAGGCAGCUGGCUAGACCUUUAUUGACGCUGAGGCACGAAAGCGUGGGGAGCGAACAGG